rnacentral:rRNA from 1 species
UACGUAGGUGCAAGCGUUAAUCGGAAUUACUGGGCGUAAAGCGUGCGCAGGCGGUGAUGUAAGACAGGAUGUGAAAUCCCCGGGCUCAACCUGGGAACUGCAUUUGUGACUGCAUCGCUGGAGUGCGGCAGAGGGGGAUGGAAUUCCGCGUGUAGCAGUGAAAUGCGUAGAUAUGCGGAGGAACACCGAUGGCGAAGGCAAUCCCUGGGCCUGCACUGACGCUCAUGCACGAAAGCGUGGGGAGCAAACAGG